GACGAAAGAGGGAGGAGGGAGUAACACAUGCAAGUCGAACGGAAAGGCCCUGCUUUUGUGGGGUGCUCGAGUGGCGAACGGGUGAGUAACACGUGAGUAACCUGCCCUUGACUUUGGGAUAACUUCAGGAAACUGGGGCUAAUACCGGAUAGGAGCUCCUGCUGCAUGGUGGGGGUUGGAAAGUUUCGGCGGUUGGGGAUGGACUCGCGGCUUAUCAGCUUGUUGGUGGGGUAGUGGCUUACCAAGGCUUUGACGGGUAGCCGGCCUGAGAGGGUGACCGGCCACAUUGGGACUGAGAUACGGCCCAGACUCCUACGGGAGGCAGCAGUGGGGAAUAUUGCACAAUGGGCGGAAGCCUGAUGCAGCAACGCCGCGUGCGGGAUGACGGCCUUCGGGUUGUAAACCGCUUUCGCCUGUGACGAAGCGUGAGUGACGGUAAUGGGUAAAGAAGCACCGGCUAACUACGUG
rnacentral:rRNA from 1 species